GCGCGGGCAGCAGCCCCCUCCCCUGCGUCGCCGGCGACUCGCACAGCACCGCCCGCUCCUGCGCGUUGCGCUCCUUGCCGGCGCCCGCCGCCUCCGCCUCCGCGUUCAGCGGGCGGGGGCGCCGGGCGACCCCCAAGGCAGGUGGGGGGGCCCAGGGUGGGACUUGGGGGUCUGGGGCAGGUGUGGGCUAAGGAGGAACGCCAGCCGGGCCCCCCUCGCUCCCGAGGCGAGCUGGGAGUCCUGGGAAACGUCUCCGCCACGGUGCAGGGCUCGCAGGAGCCUCCAAAAGACAGCAACGUUUGUCUGCCCGGCAGGACCUGCGGAACCCAAAGGACUGACGAUGGGACACUCAGGUAAGACACGGCGGUGGGCUGUACACGGAGAAAACCAACGGGAGCUUCGAACAUGCGCCCCCCGUGAGCAUGCCGAGGCUGCAGAUCCUGGUGGGCGAUGGGGCGGCUCCCGGCAGCCUGCUCGGGGUUGAGAAGCUGAUUUCCCCCACGAUGCCACAGUGGUGGGCAAGGCAGACACAGUCAGAGGCAACCAACAGCAGUGGGCCAGUCACACCCAGAGCCCCCUCGAGGGGGUGGUCGGAGGCAGGAGGUGGCACGUUCACACCUUGCGCGAAUGACACCACCUGAGGAAGACCUGGACCUACUGAGAAAUCCAGACCUGGGCCCCAGUCAGACUAAGCUUUUCAAAGCGACAGCCUUCGCCAGCUUUUUUGUGUUGCUGUUUCCUGUCACCUGAUGCAAUGCCCAUUAAUGUACACGCAGGAUCCCACAGAGACUGUAUCAAGGACAUUCUUGGGAAGUUAGUCAGCCCCGGUGCAGGAAAUUCACUUAAAGAGAGCAGCGUGGCUUUCUCCUUUCAGAUGCUUUUUGUUCCUUUCCUUCCAGUGGGAAAACAUUUCAUUGACCCUUGGGAGACAUUUCAUUGAUUCUUUCCUCUUAUCCCUUAGUUUCCUACAUGUGCCUGUACAGGUAAGAAGGUAUCAGGAGGCUGGGGUCUCUGUAUCCGCAGCAAAGCCAAGCGCGUUCACGACUGGUUCUGGGGGAUUUGGUUUCCAUUUUGUUUGGGAAAAAGAGCAAUGGCAUCCUGCUGCCUGUUGUAAUAUUUCCAAAGCCCUGGCGAUGAUCCUUAGUGGGAAACUAGGCUGACAUUUCCUUCCAGGGAGGUGAGGGACUGUCUAUAUAUUCAUCUUUCCAGAAUCUUCCAUGGUCAUGUCAUGAGGCCUCAUGUGGGCAGCGUCCUAAGCAUUGGCCAUGCUGUGUCUACCUGCAGAAUAUUUGCCUUGUGCCUCCUCGUGUGGGCCCGGUUUCCUCUGACGACUUCUCCUCAGCUUGUGUUGCCUUAUUUACGCAGGCGUGAGCGUAAGCGUAAAUAGCUGUGGUGUCAGAGAAGUCAUUAUUUUGCUAAGUAGGUACUGAAUUUCCUGCCCAGCCUGUGUUUUUGCCUCCGUGAAGAUGACUCUAUGUGCCCACCCCACAAGGAAGGCUUUAGCUGAGUUUGUCAGACUUGAGAACUCACAGGGGCCUCCAGACCCCAGUCUAAGCAGUGCUGCUUUAGGCCAUUGGGUGGGUUAAUUGCAAAAGUUCCAUUCAGAUAUGGCACAAAAAUAACAACAUAACCCUACAUUUAUUCUGCACCAAGCUUUGCAUGUUCCCGGUCUAACUCCUGUGAUGAUUUGGCGUAGCAAGGGUAUUGUCACCACGGUUUUAUCGUGGGGAGGGCUGGGCUCAAAUGUCAGAUGAUUCCCCUGGAAUCCAAACAUUUCAGUCCCUUCAAAGCCUCUUUAGUACACCCUGCUCCGUACUAGAUAAGGAGACUUUGUGCAACCUGUUAAAAAAACAGCAGUGUCUAGAUUGUUUGUUAAAUUUUAUCUGGCUCCUCAAGACUGCGAGUUCCAGAGUCAAACCAACCUGGAUUGUAAACCUUUCCAGCAUGUGACUCUGCAGGAAAACACAUAACCUCUGUAUACUUGAGUUUCCUUAUCUGUAAAAUGAAGAUAGCCUAUCACGGGACUAUUGUAAUAGAUGGGUUAUAUUAGUAAGAGGGUAGGAAAAGUCCUGAAACAAUAAUAAUUCCUUGACAGUUACCUGUUUUAUUAGUCACACACUCUAAAUAAAUGUUUAUUGACCUUACUGGAAAAGGAUUAUGUAAUGAGAAAUACUACAGUGUCGAUUUUGCUCUUAAGAACAGGGGAAACGAAUCCCAUGCAAGAUUCUGGGGAAAAAAGGGAAAAAGUUAAAGACGAGAGUUGAUUGUUUUACCACCCCCCUUCGUUGCUGAUGUCGGCAGCACAGAAGUGACAGUUUCUCACUAUGUCAAGAGAUCUGGAUAAAUUGGGGAUGCUGAGGAUGCUGGUUGCUUCAGAGGGACUUCCCAGCAGUCCAGGACUCGCCUGCUGAAACAGCAGCCACCUGCCCCCUCCGUCACCGCGGGCUCUUAGCUGUUCCUAUUCACGGCACAGUCUGCAGGAGGCAGGUUGGAAGUCUCCUGGCCCAAGAGUUCCUGCUGCGGCUCAGCGGUGACAACCCAACUAGUACCCAUGAGGAUGCGGGUUCCAUCCCUGGCUUCCCCCAGUGGGCGGGGGAUCCUGUGUAGCCAUGAGCUGCAUUGUAGGUCACACAUGUCGCUCAGAUCUGGCAUUGCUGUGGCUGUAGUGUAGGCCAGCAGCUGCGGCUCUAAGUCGACCCCUAGACUGGGUACUUCCCUAUGCUGCAGGUGGAGCUCUAAAAAGACCAAAAAAAAAAAGGAAGUCUCCCGGCCCAGACCAACCAUUGUAACCAUCCUCACUGAUCUGGGUUUGCAGUCACUAGUGGGAGCACCCAUUUAUACACUUAAGCUCUUAAGCGUCCUGCACCUAAGAAAUGUGCCUGGGAGGUUCCUUCCUUCUUGGGGCGUCUAGCCUAGCAAGGGCUUUUCUGGUGGCGGGGGUGGGUGUGAGAGCAAGUCUCCCAUGACUGGAAAGAAUCUUCCAUUCAUGGAUGAAGAGUUCCCUGCUCAAGGCCACUUUGUAGAAACAUACCUAGCCUUGAGUAAACUGGCCACCCGCUCAGCACAGUUUCUACAGGAAUUUUUUGCACACUUAGGAUGCCAAGGUUAUUUUUAUAAAUGUCUGACAAGUGUGCAUCUUUUGGUGUAAACCCCGUGAAGUUUUUCUAGAGCCAUCUGAAGUUAGAUUCUUGACCCAAACUCCGAAAGUCUAAACCCUUGUGCUAGGUCAACCCUUCCUCCCCCCACUCCCCCCUCCCCCGUCCCCACCACACCUUCCUUGCCUAACCAGUUUUCCAAGGAAGAAACCUUCGGAGGGGGAUUUCUCUGCCUUUUGUUAUGUUGUCUGUAGGCUGAUGUCCUUUUAGUAAUUCGGUGGGGCUCUAUGCUUGCAAGAUGGAGAAUUAGCUGUGCCGCUCUCUAAUACGAACCAAUACCUUAGACUUAGUGACCUGUGUGUGUGUUUGUUUUUUUUUAACUUGCAUAAAAGAUGCUAAAAAGUUAUUUCUGUUGCUGAAAUUGGUGGUGUUUGCAAAGUGUCCUUGUUAGGGGAGGUAUGACAGGACCCAUGGAUCUCUCAGGACCACAUACAAGAAGGCAGCCAGCGCACCUGCACCUAUAGCCAUGCAGUCCCCAGGGCUGGGGCCUGUGACCCUCUGCUUCCCCUAGGAUCCUGCGCUUUAUUUGGGAACCUGACUGCCUUCCCUUCAGCAUGGCUCUUUCAUGCAAGGUGCUGUUAAUUCAAACACGGACCUGGAAGAAGGACUCAGUUGGGAUGACUGUACCUCCUUGCUAAAACGUGGUUUUUUUGGUCUGGUUAAAUUUGGUUGGAGAUUAACUGUUCGAGUGAGAGUGAGAUGGAGUGCAGUGAGGAGUGUGACCUAAAUCUAGGGCCUUUAACCACUAGAGGCCCCUGAUUUCUAUCCAGAGAAUCUGACAUUUGUCUAACAGCCACCUUGGCUCAGAAGCAAAGCUUUCGAAAAAUAGAGAUGCUCAAGUCCCAGCUCCAGGAAGUCUGACUUAAACGAUGUAAGGCGGGUCUCAGGCAUCCAUAUGUUUCAGAAGGUCCCCGGUGAAUUCUCGUAUGCAGCCCGGGCUGAGAACCUCCGCUUUAGAAGGAUUCAUAACUCACCGCCAUCAUUCCCCCUGCCUAGGGAGAGGCUUCUGGCCAGCCCAGUGGGUCUCAAAAUAAAGGUUUAGAAACAGCUGGAGGUACUUGCCUGUAGUCCACACCCCAGCCUCCCACUCAGGGACUCUGAGGUCUCAAGAGGGACCCAGGCAACUGCCCCAUAGCCCAGAAGCCAAGAGUGGCUCUGACAGAUGGACCACAUUUUGAGAUGCUCCUCAGAGCUCAGACAGCCAGAUUCCCCACCCACCAGCUCUAGUCCACAAGUAUAGACAUUCACCUGGAAGGAUGAGUCAAAUAGUACAUUUUAUCCACAAAUAUCAAACCUUCACAACAGACCUUAGAUAUGCCUAAUCUGCUUGUCAUUGUCAACUCCACUCUUGAACUGGCACGGACGCCUGCAACAGUACCCCGAUCUGCCUGUGGUUUUGCCUAAAAGAAGGUUUCUUUUAAUAACAGCAUCAGGCCUUUUGCCAUGUACCUGGUGUUCCUGAAAUGAUCUGAAAGGAUUGCUAGGGCCCGUGGAAGUCAGCAAGCGUCAGACCCUGCUGUCGCAAAAGAAUAAGUCUGAUGGGGGAGGUUAGACACGUGCCCAGGUUGCUAGAAUGUAAGGAAGGAAAUACAGCCAUUGACAUAGGGGGGAAAAAAAAGUGCUGUGGGAACAAGAGGAAGAAGUGGAUUCAUUGACCUUGGGUGUUGGGAAAUGUCCCAGAGAAGACGGUCGUCGAGGUCGAUCCCUGUGGAUAAGCAGACCCCCCCUCUCCCCCGUCCUAGAGGCACAGGAGAGGAAGGUCAAGCCAGGUAAGGGCCAGAUGGCCUGCGCGUGGGAUUGGAGGAUGGAUGGACACGCAUGAGAACUGGAGAGCAGUUGAGCGGUACCAGGGGCACAGAGGGGCAGAGAAAGAGGAGAGGUGGUUUAAAGCCAGCUGCACCUGGGCUCUGGAGGUCCUGCUAAAGAGUGUGGGAUUUUCCUUUAGGCAGUGAGAAGGCAUCACAGAUGUUUUUAGAGGGGUGUGCCGUGAGUUCAGAAUCUGGCUCUGGGAAAAAAAGGGGUGAGUAGACUGCAGGGGAGAGAGAAACUGGGAGCAGGAAAACCAAUUAGGAAGCAGUUGCCGUUGUUCAAGAAAAUGCUGCUCUCCGCCGCAGUGGUCCCGUUCCUAAAAUAAUGCAUCAAUCAUCUUGCUUCAUUUUACUCCUCUUAUUUCUGGGGCUAGAAAAAAAUCACUUACCCCUUCUGUGACUCAGAAUCCCUCCCUAUUAAUAGAAGAUGACAAAAUCCUUAUCUUACCUCACACAGGGAGGUGCUGGGAGACGCUUGUAUUUGUAGCCAGGGAAGAGGGGAAAUCUUAUUCUAAAUGCCAGUGGUGUCACUUGUCUCCAGGAGAGAAACUGCUUUUCGCCUCUAACUUUUUAUCAGAAACACCUCAGACCUGCAGAAAAGUUGAGCGUUGAGUAAAAGCAUCAGAAAUAGUCUUUGGAGGGAAAUUUCUGCAGAAGUUGCAAGUCUCAUUACCAUAGCGGUGACAGUGCCACAUCCCACACCGAAAAGGUCCAUCUGCUGCUACAAGCGAUGGCCCUUCCUGGAGACAUCAUCUGCCACUGUCCACAGUUUACAUAAGGGCCCCCUCUCAGUGCUGGUACCCUCUGUGAAUUGGAACAGAUAGAUGCUGAUGUGUAUCCACCAUUAUAAUAUUGUACUUCCUGCUUUUGCUUUAAACCUAAAACUGCCUUUGAAAAUAGUCUGUUUUAAUAGAAAUGAAAAAAUAUGUAUCCUGCCUCAGAUUGACUUGGAACUACAGAAUACAGUUUCUUCAUGAAUUAGAUGAAAGCCCCUUUUCAAAUGUUUACAUGUAUUAUGCAAUUUUUUCUUUUAUUAAAAAAAAAAAAUUGGAGUUCCUUGGUGGCCUGGCAGUUAAGGAUCUGACAUUGUCACCGCUAUGGUACAGGUUUGAUCCCUGGCCUGGGAACUUACACAUGUUGCAGGUGAAGCCAAAAAAAAAAAAAAAAAAAAA
rnacentral:lncRNA from 1 species